AACUGUUCACGACCAAAUGAUAUGCUGUUAAUAAGGACGACAGCUUCUAUCGAGCAUAGGUCGCUGUAGGCCAUGUGGGUUGGUUGUCCUCUUAACCAAGGAGUGUGGAGAUAUUGGUAUGGCAUACAGUUGAGAUGUAAGGGUACAUCAUUGAACGUGACCAACUCCAGAGCAUUCUGCUGUCGAGAAUGUCUCUGAUGGGAUAUAGGUAAGUGUCUCUUAGACCUG
rnacentral:lncRNA from 1 species